GAUGAACGCUGGCGGCGUGCCUAAUACAUGCAAGUCGAGCGAACAGAUGAGGAGCUUGCUCCUCUGACGUUAGCGGCUGACGGGUGAGUAACACGUGGAUAACCUACCUAUAAGACUGGGAUAACUUCGGGAAACCGGAGCUAAUACCGGAUAAUAUAUUGAACCGCAUGGUUCAAUAGUUAAAGACGGUUUUGCUGUCACUUAUAGAUGGAUCCGCGCCGCAUUAGCUAGUUGGUAAGGUAACGGCUUACCAAGGCAACGAUGCGUAGCCGACCUGAGAGGGUGAUCGGCCACACGGGAACUGAGACACGGUCCAGACUCCUACGGGAGGCAGCAGUAGGGAAUCUUCCGCAAUGGGCGAAAGCCUGACGGAGCAACGCCGCGUGAGUGAUGAAGGUCUUCGGAUCGUAAAACUCUGUUAUUAGGGAAGAACAAAUGUGUAAGUAACUAUGCACGUCUUGACGGUACCUAAUCAGAAAGCCACGGCUAACUACGUG
rnacentral:rRNA from 1 species